CCCGCCUCCCGCACGGCCGCGCUCGCACACACGGAACCUCAAAAUGGCAUCCCGGCACGGCCUCCCCGGGAGCCGCGCCGCGCCAGCCUCUCCUCAAAUAGGCAGGAAAAGCCUUUCCUCGGGCUCCGGCGUUUCCGCCACCUGCCCGGCCGCGUCCCCUCUCUGCGGCAGCCGAGGGGAACCAGUGCCCCGCUCCGGGAAGCGUCGCUGCCCUGCCAGGCAGGCCUCCCUCCUUCGGGCCACCUCUGCCCUGGCUCCACACUCACCCGAGGUGCGCUACCCUCAGACACGAACCCGUCUUACUCAGAAACAAGGAACUGGACUAGGUUCUACUGCAAAUCAAACAAGACUUUCAAUUUGGAGAGUCAUCCUUAUCUACAAAAGCAGCUUCUCCAUCCCUUCAGAGAACUUCUAA
rnacentral:lncRNA from 1 species